AAGCUUGCUGGAGGUAUCAGAAGUGCGAAUGCUGACAUGAGUAACGAUAAUGGGUGUGAAAAACACCCACGCCGAAAGACCAAGGUUUCCUGCGCAACGUUAAUCGACGCAGGGUUAGUCGGUCCCUAAGGCGAGGCUGAAAAGCGUAGUCGAUGGAAAACAGGUUAAUAUUCCUGUACUUCUGGUUAUUGCGAUGGAGGGACGGAGAAGGCUAGGCCAGCUUGGCGUUGGUUGUCCAAGUUUAAGGUGGUAGGCUGGAAUCUUAGGUAAAUCCGGGAUUCUAAGGCCGAGAGCUGAUGACGAGUGUUCUUUUAGAACACGAAGUGGUUGAUGCCAUGCUUCCAAGAAAAGCUUCUAAGCUUCAGGUAACCAGGAACCGUACCCCAAACCGAC
rnacentral:rRNA from 1 species